rnacentral:rRNA from 1 species
AUUGAACGCUGGCGGCAGGCCUAACACAUGCAAGUCGAGCGGAGCGGCGGACGGGUGGGUAAUGCCUAGGAAGCGGCCUGGUAGUGGGGGAGAAAGUACGGAAAGGGGCGCUAAUAACGCAUACUAUCAGAGGGACCUAAGUGGGAUGAGCUAGUUGGUGGGGUAAAGGCUUACCAAGGCGACGAUCCGUACCUGGUCUGAGAGGAUGAUCAGUCACACUGGAACUGAGACACGGUCCAGACUCCUACGGGAGGCAGCAGUGGGGAAUAUUGGACAAUGGGCGAAAGCCUGAUCCAGCCAUGCCGCGUGUGUGAAGAAGGCCUUAGGAUUGUAAAGCACUUUAAGUUGGGAGGCGUUACCAACAGAAUAAGCACCGGCUAACUUCGUGCCAGCAGCCGCGGUAAUAC